rnacentral:rRNA from 1 species
GAUGAACGCUAGCGGCAGGCCUAAUACAUGCAAGUCGGACGGGAUUGAGGAGCUUGCUUCUCAUGAGAGUGGCGCACGGGUGAGUAACACGUAUGUAACCUACCUUAGUCAGGGGGAUAGCCUCACUAAAGAGAGAUUAACCCCGCAUAACAUUAAGUUGUGGCAUAACAGCUUAAUCAAGUAUUUAUAGGACUACGAUUGGCAUGCGGAACAUUAGCUAGUUGGUAAGGUAACGGCUUACCAAGGCAACGAUGUUUAGGGGGUCUGAGAGGAUGACCCCCCACACUGGUACUGAGACACGGACCAGACUCCUACGGGAGGCAGCAGUAAGGAAUAUUGGUCAAUGGACGCAAGUCUGAACCAGCCAUGCCGCGUGCAGGAAGACGGCCCUACGGGUUGUAAACUGCUUUUGUACCGGAAUAAACCUUUUCACGUGUGAGAAGCUGAAUGUACGGUAAGAAUAAGGAUCGGCUAACUCCGUGCCAGCCGCCGCUGUAA